GACAGAGGUGCCAAGCGUUAGGCGGAAUCACUGGGCUUAAAGCGUGUGUAGGUGGAUUUGUAAGUACCUUGUGAAAUCCCAUGGCUCAACCAUGGAACUGCUCGGUAUACUGCGAAUCUUGAGCCACUUAGGGGCUACCGGAACAAAUGGUGGAGCGGUGAAAUGCGUAGAUAUCAUUUGGAACGCCAAUGGUGAAAAACAGGUAGCUGGGGAGUGUGCUGACACUGAGACACGAAAGCCAGGGGAGCGAACGGG
rnacentral:rRNA from 1 species